rnacentral:rRNA from 1 species
GUGGGGAAUAUUGGACAAUGGGGGGAACCCUGAUCCAGCCAUGCCGCGUGUGUGAAGAAGGCCUUUUGGUUGUAAAGCACUUUAAGCGAGGAGGAGGCUACCGAGAUUAAUACUCUUGGAUAGUGGACGUUACUCGCAGAAUAAGCACCGGCUAACUCUGUGCCAGCAGCCGCGGUAAUACAGAGGGUGCAAGCGUUAAUCGGAUUUACUGGGCGUAAAGCGCGCGUAGGUGGCCAAUUAAGUCAAAUGUGAAAUCCCCGAGCUUAACUUGGGAAUUGCAUUCGAUACUGGUUGGCUAGAGUAUGUGAGAGGAUGGUAGAAUUCCAGGUGUAGCGGUGAAAUGCGUAGAGAUCUGGAGGAAUACCGAUGGCGAAGGCAGCCAUCUGGCCUAAUACUGACACUGAGGUGCGAAAGCAUGGGGAGCAAACAGGAUUAGAAACCCUGGUAGUCC